ACGGCUCAGUAACACGUAGCUAAUCUAACCUUAGGUCAAGGAUAACCUCGGGAAACUGAGGAUAAUACUUGAUAGGAAAUGUUUUCUGGAAUGUGAUAUUUCUGAAACUUGAGCCUAAGGAUGAGGCUGCGGCUGAUUAGGUAGUUGUUGGUGUAACGGACUAACAAGCCGAUGAUCAGUAAGGGUUCUUAGCGGAAGAGCCCUGAGAAGGAAUCUGAGACACUAUUCCUAGCUCUACGGGGUGCAGCAGUUAAGGAAAUUUUACAAUGCCCGCAAGGGUGAUCGAGUGAUCCAGAGUGUUUUCUUUUAGAAAACUUUUGUCUGUUGCAAAAAGACAGACGAAUAAGGACUGGGCAAGACCGGUGCCAGCCGCCGCGGUAAUCCCGGCGGUCCAAGUCGCAUCCACAUUUAUUGGGUCUAAAACAUCCGUAGCUUGUUUUGUAAGUCUCUUGUGAAAUCUGAUAUCUCAAAUAUCAGGCGUGCAAGAGAUACUGCAAUGCUAGAGACUGGAAGGCGCAAAGAGUAUGAUUGAGGUAGCGGUAAAAUGUGUUAAUCUUGAUCAGACUGACAAUGGCGAAGGCACUUUGCGAGUACAGAUCUGACAGUGAGGGAUGAAGGCUAGGGGCGCAAAAGGGAUUAGAUACCCCUGUAGUCCUAGCAGUAAACACUGCUCACUAAACAUUAGUACCUCCUCGAGAGGUAUUGGUGCUGCAGCGAAAGCGAAGAGUGAGCUACCUGGGAAGUAUAGUCGCAAGGCCGAAACUUAAAGGAAUUGGCGGGGGAGCAC
rnacentral:rRNA from 1 species